rnacentral:misc_RNA from 1 species
UUGUUUUUGUUACGACAAUUUACAUUCAUCACGUUGGGUUUUUGGUGUUUUGCGCUGGGGGCCCGAGAGCCCCAAGACAUACAAACAAUUCACGGUGUGUGUGGAAUAGACACGGCCAGAGGCCAAUCUCUAAUGAUCCUUCCGCAGGUUCACCUACGGAAA